rnacentral:tRNA from 1 species
GGCAUGGUGGCUCAGUGGUUAGAGCGCCUGCCUCAUGAACGGGAGGUCGUGGGUUCGAACCCCGGCCGAGUCA